rnacentral:rRNA from 1 species
GACGAACGCUGGCGGCGUGCCUAAUACAUGCAAGUCGAACGCUUCUUUCCUCCCGAGUGCUUGCACUCAAUUGGAAAGAGGAGUGGCGGACGGGUGAGUAACACGUGGGUAACCUACCCAUCAGAGGGGGAUAACACUUGGAAACAGGUGCUAAUACCGCAUAACAGUUUAUGCCGCAUGGCAUAAGAGUGAAAGGCGCUUUCGGGUGUCGCUGAUGGAUGGACCCGCGGUGCAUUAGCUAGUUGGUGAGGUAACGGCUCACCAAGGCCACGAUGCAUAGCCGACCUGAGAGGGUGAUCGGCCACACUGUGACUGAGACACGGCCCAGACUCCUACGGGAGGCAGCAGUAGGGAAUCUUCGGCAAUGGACGAAAGUCUGACCGAGCAACGCCGCGUGAGUGAAGAAGGUGUUCGGAUCGUAAAACUCUGUUGUUAGAGAAGAACAAGGACGUUAGUAACUGAACGUCCCCUGACGGUAUCUAACCAGAAAGCCACGGCUAACUACGUG